UAGCAGGGGUAAAGGAGCUAGUUCGGCCAGAAAACUAAAAAACAGGGAAGCUAGAAAAUGGAGAAAAAUGAACGAAAACUCGUUUCGAUGAAGAAUUAGCGAUGGAUCAUAGAUCUGUUGAACCAAUUCCAAGCUAUGUCGGAAUCUGAUCCUCUCAUGUGAGUGAUUCACGUUAUUUCAAAAUUUAGAUCCUUUUUUUUUUCUUUUUGUUUAUGAAAUUAUAUACAGAUUUAUCAUUUUAACUUCUGGAUCAUAUUUGGAAAUUAAUAUUCCAUUGUGUUUAAUUACUGAUAAAAUAAACAAAAAAAUUAUAAAAUAAAUCUUGUUGCAUUAAUUUAGUUAGAAGAAUUAUGUGAAGAUUUAUUUAGGGUUACCGGAACAUAUUUUAUUUUCCCGGUAUUAAAUUUUAAUCCCAUAAAUUUAAUAAUUACUUUUUCAUGCAACUAUGUCUGUAUACCUUGCAACUAUGUCUGUAUACCUCAAUUUGCAGCGGCUAGGAAACAAGAAGGUGACAAGUGACAACUCUACUUGGGGUGUUGAAAACUAAAUUCUAAGGCAGAUUCAUGCAAAUAUACACUCUCUUUUGUCAGUCUUUAUCAACUAGAAAGAAUAAUACAUAUGCUGUACAUGCUUUGGCAUUGCCAUUAAUGACCAUUGAUAUUUUAUGAAACACUUGUAUGUGUGAUGCCAUUAAUGUUAGAAAAGGGUUAAGGGGUUUUUGUAAGGAAUUAGGCACUUGUUCUUUGUAAUUUCAUUGCCUUUUUUUUUUUUUUAUCAAAUGCAGUCUAGGUAUGUGUGUAGAGUCCAAUUCAACUAUUCUUUCAAUCCUUAAAAUGUUUAAGUUUAUAAUGUUUAUUUUUCUCAGGCUCUAUGGUUUCAUCGUUGUUUCCUUUCCCUUCAUUUGAUGCGGCAGUUGAUAACUUUUGAUGGUAUUUGGUGCCGUUCUGAGCAGAAAACCAGCUAGGGUAAUGAAAUCAAUAUCUUUUUGGACAAUGAAUUAUGUCUCCUGGAUUUCGUAGAACAAGCAAUGUCUUCAGCAGUUUACUUUUUAUGGUUGAUGAAGGUAAUUGUAACAAAAUUGCUUAAAUUAUAUGGAGAUUGAACUGUAAGUGAAGCUGAAAUUUGGAAAUUUGAAGACCAUAUAUCACAUAAGACAUCUUCAGAAGAUCUUUCCUUUGGGAUUUUUCAGACCUCGGAAGCUUUUAAUGAACAUAUACAUCCGAAUUAGUUCAUCUUUGUUAAAUAUUAACUAUUUCAUAACGUAUCUCCAUGACUAUUUUAUGUGGCUUUCGUUAAAUUAUAUGUUCAAAUUGGAUUGAGGUACUGAAAAGUAGUCUCUAAUUGCACUUUUUCCAAUGUUUGGGGAGUAUUUUAUUGACAAGAAGGUGACAAAUAAUGUUAUGGUGAUUGUAACUUCCAAGGAUGCAUCGUCAUGUUUUCAAGCUUUUGUGGAGAUCAGGAUACCCUGAGGAUAAGGUAAGCUGUUAUACAUUUAAGAAAUGUCUGAUCAUCCCUUCUCUGCCUAGGUCCUAGAAAGAAACUUGUAUCUGAAAAAACUGGGGGCAAACUAUUUUACCCGGAUUUAGGGGCAAGUAUACAAUACGGGUAUACUCAAUGUUUAGUAUUUUUCGUUUCAUAUAUUUAGAAAAUCACGUCUCGAUACUCAUGCUCAUAUAGUUUCAAAUACAGACAUUGGAAUGAAGAGUUUGAGUAACAUAGGAAGCAACCGCUGGCAAAACUGGAGUUUGCUGAUUGGGUAUGGAAGCUUUCAGCUUUCUAUCACAUAUGUUUUGUUUUUGGGUCUACUUAUGCUCCCACUCUCUAUACCUUUAGCACACAUGAAAUUUAAUCACUUUACUUUUAAUACCAAGAAUCCAGUUAUUCGAUUCUUUUGAUUUAAUAAUUGUAAUGGCCAAUAUUACAUGUGUGAAAGGCUGGAUAAACAAAUAAAAACAUUAACUUUGGGGUUGUGAGGUUUUUUAUUCUAAAUCUAGGGUUGUAAGGCUUUUAGCAUUGUUUCAGAGAAGCAUGAUGCAAGUUAAUAUUUUUGUUGCGAACAAUUAGUUUUUGUCACAUAAUCCAAUUUAACAGAAUGUAUUAUUGAUUAGACUUCAGUUAUUAGUUAUAAUGAGAAGGACUAGAUUUUAAUUAUAUGAAGAGUAUAAAGAUUGGGAGCAUAAUUAGACCUUAUUUUUUUUCAGGUCCAGAACAUAUGAUUUGGGAGUUUAUAGUCUCCUUUUAAAUAGAAACGUUAUCUUCCCAUUCCUUUUAAUGGCCUACCAAAUUGAAGCCAUGGAAUAUUAGCCAGUUCUUUAGAAAUAAUAUGAUUGCUUUCGUUGUCGAGUGGAGCCACUCAUCUCAUUCACCAUUCCUCACUGUAAUAUAAUGCAGUAAAUGUAAAGGCAUGUAGUAACAAAUGUUGUCGAGUGGGCUUCUCUUUGCUUGAGAUUAGCUCAAGUAAUCGAUGUUGGAAUUUUUUUUAAUGAAAACUGACAUUCUUAUUUCAGAGAGCAAUUGUUUAUAAAUUCUUAAUAAAAUCAAGGAAGGAUCGAUUCCAUGGGUUGAUUUCUUUUCCAUGAAAUCUUGAAUUCGAGGACCCAAGGCCACUCAUUGGUGUUAUCCAAAUUGCAAGUCCCCAUCAAAGCCAAUGAUGA
rnacentral:lncRNA from 1 species